CAGGUCUGUGAUGCCCUUAGAUGUUCUGGGCUGCACGCGCGCUACACUGACACGAUCAACGAGUUUGUCCUGGUCCGAUAGGAUUGGGUAAUCUUCUGAAAUCGUGUCGUGAUGGGGAUAGAUCAUUGCAAUUAUUGAUCUUCAACGAGGAAUUCCUAGUAAGUGCAAGUCAUCAGCUUGCGCUGAUUAUGUCCCUGCUCUUUGUACACACCGCCCGU
rnacentral:rRNA from 1 species